UGGGGAAUAUUGCACAAUGGGGGAAACCCUGAUGCAGCGACGCCGCGUGAACGAAGAAGGUAUUCGUAUCGUAAAGUUCUGUCCUAUGGGAAGAUAAUGACAGUACCAUAGAAGAAAGCUCCGGCUAAAUACGUGCCAGCAGCCGCGGUAAUACGUAUGGAGCGAGCGUUGUCCGGAAUUAUUGGGCGUAAAGGGUACACAGGCGGUUUAAUAAGUCGAAUGUUAAAGAUCGGGGCUCAACCCCGUAAAGCAUUGGAAACUGAUAAACUUGAGUAGUGGAGAGGAAAGUGGAAUUCCUAGUGUAGUGGUGGAAUACGUAGAUAUUAGGAGGAAGACCAGUAGCGAAGGCGACUUUCUGGACAGAAACUGACGCUGAGGUACGAAAGCGUGGGGAGCAAACAGG
rnacentral:rRNA from 1 species